GUUGAUGGUGAGUUUUGAAUUUUGAUACUUUUUUCGCGAGGCAAAGUGAGAAUCGGGAAAGGGUAAUUUUUCCUGUUCAUUUAUUUAUGGACGGGGAAGACUAUAAUGCGCCCAACAAAGAGAAACUACAAAAAAAAAAACUCCACAGUAAAGCAAGCAGAUUCUCCAGACGAAAAAGAAGGGUCUAGACUCCAGAUCGAGCGAAAAACUGUACCAGACAGACAGACAGACACACACACACGCUGACACUACAUAUUUCUCAUCUCAGCGGGAAGUUUCUGUUUCUUUAGUUUCUCCGAGUCCGAAGGUGGGAGAGUGGGACACAACUAUCGCUAGUCGCUAAGCCAUGUGCUCGCUCAUGAAACUUCGCAAGCCCUUCUUCUUCUGCACUAAUUCUCUAACCUCACUCUCACUUCGGCGCUUAUCCUCCACGCUCUCUGCCCAACCUUCUUCUUCUUCUUCUUCACAGCAAACAAGCUCUACCUUCAUUCACCCUUCUGCCAUUGUACACCCUAAUGCUCUUAUUUCCCAGGGUGUUUCCAUUGGUCCUUUCUGCACUGUUGGUUCCUCUACCAAGCUUGGGCAUGGCUGUCAAUUACAUCCUGGGAGCCAUAUAUUUGGAAAUACUGAACUGGGGGAGCAUUGCAUUUUGAUGACUGGCUCUGUGGUUGGUGAUGAUCUUCCUGGGCGUACAGUUGUGGGAUGCAAUAACAUUAUAGGCCAUCAUGCUGUGGUAGGUGUUAAGUGCCAAGACUUGAAGUACAAGCCAGGGGAUGAAUGUUUCCUUGAUAUUGGCGACAAUAAUGACAUCAGAGAACAUUCCUCAAUCCACCGUUCUUCGAAGUCAAGUGAAAGGACGGUUAUUGGUGAUAAUAAUCUUAUAAUGGGAUCUUGUCAUAUAGCCCAUGAUUGCAAGGUUGGCAACAACAAUAUUUUUGCAAACAAUACUCUACUAGCUGGCCAUGUUAUGGUGGAAGACUAUGCUCACACUGCAGGUGCAAUCGUCGUUCAUCAAUUCUGCCACAUUGGUUCGUUCUCUUUUAUUGGUGGAGGUUCUGUGGUUUCACAAGAUGUCCCAAAGUACAUGAUGGUGACUGGAGAGAGAGCCGAGCUUCGUGGCUUAAAUUUGGAGGGUCUUCGGCGUCGUGGAUUCACAGCUGCAGAGGAUCUAGAUAAAUAGUCUGAGAAUGGCUUAUCGAAAGAUAUUUAUGCCUGUUGAUGCAAAUUCUGCCAGUUUUGAAGAGCGUCUUGCUGAAGUGGAGCAGAAUGAAGAAUUGGCACAUAUUCCUGCAGUUUGUUCCAUGGUGCAAUCUAUUCGGAACUCUUUCUCAGAAGAUCGUCGUGGAAUAUGCAAGUUCAGACAUUGGAUAUAGUCUAAAUGACACCUAAUUUGUGGAGUGAGUAUAUCCAAAUUUCAUUUACUAAUCAAGUUGCUUUAACUUUUUAUUUUUUAUUUUAUAAAUUAUUGCAGUUAAAACAGUGGUUUGGACCAAAGCUGUUAGCAGUUUCUGCCUAAGAGCAUCUGAGCAAUUGUUUUUAGAAGCUGCUAUAGACUUAUUCUGUAUUGUGAUAACUCUGACGAGUUAACCUAAUCUAUUAGCAGUUUCUAACUAAGAGCAAAUGACCAAUUGUUUUUAUAAGCUGCUGUAGACUAUUUUGUAUGGUCAAAACUCUGACGUGUAGCUUUUGGUUGACUUUGUUAUGAAGUUCAAUCUAUAGCAAUUAUUUAUUUCUUUUAAA